rnacentral:rRNA from 1 species
UACAGGGGAGACCAGUGUUGGUGAUUCACUGGGCGUAAAGGGCGCGUAGGCGGCUUUAUAAGUCGGGGUGAAAGCCUGUGGCUCAACCACAGAAUUGCCUUCGAUACUGUAGAGCUUGAGACCGGAAGAGGUAAGUGGAACUGCGAGUGUAGAGGUGAAAUUCGUAGAUAUUCGCAAGAACACCAGUGGCGAAGGCGGCUUACUGGUCCGGUUCUGACGCUGAGGCGCGAAAGCGUGGGGAGCAAACAGG